rnacentral:rRNA from 1 species
AGAGCGAACGCUGGCGGCAGGCCUAACACAUGCAAGUCGAGCGCCCGUAGCAAUACGGGAGCGGCAGACGGGAGAGUAACACGUGGGAACGCGCCCUUCGGUUCGGAAUAACUCAGGGAAACUUGAGCUAAUACCGGAUACGCCCUUACGGGGAAAGAUUUAUUGCCGAAGGAACGGCCCGCGUCCGAUUAGCUAGUUGGUGAGGUAAUGGCUCACCAAGGCGACGAUCGGUAGCUGGUCUGAGAGGAUGACCAGCCUCACUGGGACUGAGACACGGCCCAGACUCCUACGGGAGGCAGCAGUGGGGAAUAUUGGACAAUGGGCGCAAGCCUGAUCCAGCCAUGCCGCGUGGAUGAUGAAGGCCCUAGGGUUGUAAAGUCCUUUUAACGGGGAAGAUAAUGACGGUACCCGUAGAAUAAGCCCGGCUAACUUCGUGCAGCAGCCGC